CGUGUCUAGUACGGGAAAUUAUUAUUAUAAAUUUUUAAGCUUGUACUUUGUACUCAUUGAAGUGGCCCGCGGCCUUCUACCGUUAAUGGCUUUAUAACUGCAACGAAGCAUCAUGGAGUUUAUACUCAUAAGCGAGGUGUAAGUGCAGUCAGGUGGGAACGUUGAGUAGCUUUAUAUUCUUCCUCCAUCUUAUUGUGCUAGUUUUAACAAUAAUCGUAGUCAGUAUGAAGGUUUUUGUUAGUAUGCUUAUACUUUUAUUGCUUCUUGUCGACUUAAUGUCCUGUAAAAAAUGGAAGAAGAAAAACAAGCCAAAUAACGCUGCAGCUGUGCCUGUGGUACCCGAAGGAGACUUCUGUGAUUUCCAGGAAAAGAAGCUUAAAGUUGGUGAUAGCGAGUACGACUCAUCAAUUUGUGGUUAUUGCAGAUGUAAAGCUAGCCAAACAUUGAUAUGUGAUCAAACAAUCUGUGACACGGAUUCUGACACGGACGACUGUGAAACCCAACCCUUGUGGACCGAGUGGACCGACCGGACAGGGUGUUAUGUGUAUUUCUGUGACUCCUGGGGUGAACGACACAUCAGCAAGAUGUUGUGCUUAUAAAUCACUCUACAUCUACUACAUCUACAUCUACAUCACUCUACACUCAAGAUAAUGUGAUGGGUCUGAUAACGAAGAAUGGUAAAAAACGAGGAAACAUGGUUUAAAGUUGAAAUUUCAUGAAGUUAUGAGGGACAAUUGUUGUUCUUGAGGCAUUAUUUAUUAUUUUAUUAGAUUUUCUCAAUUUCAAAGAAAUUUUACCUUGUAA